rnacentral:lncRNA from 1 species
UUUAAAAAAUAUAUUUAUUCAUAUUUAUUUCUCAAUAUAAAUACAGAAAAAUAAUUUAAACUAAAAAAUAAUCACUAUUUGCAUUUGAAAUCUCACACAUCGCUGACCAGCAAAAAAUAGCAAUUGCCGACCAAGAGUGAGAAGGGAGCAAUUGUCGACCAAGAGUGAGAAGGGAGGGAGACGAUUUAUUGACGGAGAGUAAAAAGUGAGGGAAAUUGCUGACUAAUUUAUAAUACCAGCAAUGAGGACCAGAGCAAGCAGUGGAGAAGAGUGAAGAAGCAACCAGGACCAGUGAACGCAGUAACGAUGUGAACACCGUAAAGAGCAUAGGAACGAUUGACGAAGAAAGGGAGGAGAGAUGCGUGCGGCUGUAUCAAAUGGAGAGAUAGAGAAUUCGGCGAGAAAUGAGACGGGACAGGGCCAGAUCGGACGGCAGAGAUGGGUGAGCCUGAAGAGAGAGCUGGAAAGGGCAAAAGUGGGUGAGGUUGAAGCGAGGUAGGGCGUAAAUGAACCAAACCGUUCGUGAGCUAUUUGAGCUUCGAUUCAAUAAAAGCUCGACCGAGCUCGACUCGAUUUCUAAACGAGCCAAGUUCGAGCUUAAUUUUUAGGCUCGUUUGAUAAAUGAGUCAAGCUUGAACUCCAUAGUAUUCGGCUCGUUAAGGCUCGUGAGCUCGGCUCGUUUCUGAAUUCAUGAGCAGGCUUGCGAAUAGACUCGUGAACAGUCUCGUUAAGUAAACUGAAAUUACUAUCAUAAGAGAAAUAAGGUCAAACCCUGCAUAUAUUUUCAUUAGUCAAAUCUGAAUUUUUUAAAAUUCAGCUCUAUAUAGUUUAGUUAAACUCUUAAACUUGCAUAUAUUUAGAUCAUUAAGAUUUAAAAACUAAUCUUUAUAAGUUUACAUGCUAAUUUAUAGAUAUACUUAUUUAACUAAAAUUAUUUUAGUUUUAAUAUUUUAGUUUUAAAUUAAAAUUUAUUAUACAUGUAAAUAAAUUAAAUUACUCGUGAACUAUUUUCGACUCAACUCGAUAAAAAUUCGACUCGUUUAAGUUCAUUUGCUAAACGAGUCAAGUUUGAGUUUCUUAAUACUCGGCUCGAGUUCGAUAUGAGUAAAGCUCGAAUCGGCUCGAGCUUGAAAAAAUUUUAACAAGCUAAAUUUGAGCUUUUCAAAAUUUGGCUCGACUCGGUUUGUUUACACCUAAAGGAGGAGAAAAAAAAAAAAAAAAAAAAAAGAAAG